AUGAACGCUGGCGGCGUGCCUAAUACAUGCACGUCGAGCGAACAGAUGAGGAGCUUGCUCCUCUGACGUUAGCGGCGGACGGGUGAGUAACACGUGGAUAACCUACCUAUAAGACUGGGAUAACUUCGGGAAACCGGAGCUAAUACCGGAUAAUAUAUUGAACCGCAUGGUUCAAUAGUGAAAGACGGUUUUGCUGUCACUUAUAGAUGGAUCCGCGCCGCAUUAGCUAGUUGGUAAGGUAACGGCUUACCAAGGCAACGAUGCGUAGCCGACCUGGGAGGGGGCAGGGCCACAUCGGAGCUGAAAAGCGACACAGGCCCCUAGGGGGGGCAGAAGGGGGGAAUGUUCCGAAAGGGGGGAAAGCCUGACGGGAGCACGGCGGGGGGGUGAAGAAGGUUUGCGGAUCGUAAAACUCUGUUUUUGGGGAAAAACAAAUGUGUAAGUAACUAUGCACGUCUGGAGGGAACCAAAACAGAAAGCCACGGCAAAUUCCUU
rnacentral:rRNA from 1 species